rnacentral:tRNA from 1 species
GACCCAGUAGUCAAGUAGGUUAAGACAUAACAUUUUCACUGUUACAUGCGAGAGUUCGAGCCUCUCCUGGGUUA